UACGUAGGAGGCAAGCGUUGUCCGGAGUUACUGGGCGUAAAGCGCACGCAGGCGGUCUUGUCAGUCUGUAGGGACAGGGCACAGCUCAACUGUGUCAGGCUUAUGGAAACUGCAAGACUUGAGGGCUUCAGAGGGAUGGGGAAUUCCGGGUGGAGUGGUGAAAUGCGUAGAGAUCCGGAAGAACACCAGAGGCGAAGGCACCAUCCUGGGGAGUCACUGACGCUCGGGUGCGAAAGCUAGGGGAGCGAACGGG
rnacentral:rRNA from 1 species